rnacentral:sRNA from 1 species
AGGAGGUGGCUCUUGCGGGGUGGGUAAGAGGAGGAUUAGGGAACACACACCUCAACUGUCCACUUGACUUGUUGGUUGCAGAAAGAGCUGGGCUCCACUGAGGACAUCUACCUGGCUUCCCGCAAGGUCAAAGAGCUGUCGGUCAUUGAUGGCCGGAGGGCCCAAAACUGCAUCAUCCUUCUUUCCAAGUUGAAGCUUUCUAACGAGGAGAUCCGGCAGGCCAUCUUGAAGAUGGAUGAGCAGGAGGACCUCGCUAAGGACAUGCUGGAGCAGCUCCUCAAGUUCAUCCCGGAG